UCUGCGCAGGCGCACUCGGCCCGCCCGGAGGCGCGGGAAAGCUGAGUCAGGGUGCGCGGCGGCCGUGUGGAGGGGCCUCGAGAGCCCCGCCGCAGGUGGAUGCACCGCCGCAGGCUUCGGGCGGCGGAGCGGGCGCCGCGGGGAGGCCGCAGCGGAGUAUGGAGCUGUCACGGCCUAAGCUGCGGGCCCCGUCCAUUUAUUACCCGCGCCCGGGAGGAUCCCUCAUUUAGUGUAUACUGUUCAUUUGUUAUCGAAACGGCCGGCAGCACUGUAAUUCGUGCCUGAACUCUGCUUAUCUGACAUGAGUGUCUUCUCCAUGAUGUACAUCGCAGCCUUCUUGGGCUCAGGAAACUGGACAGAACUUGAGCACCACCUUGGGGGCCAUUUUAAACAGCCAAGCCAUGAACAAAAAGCACACAAGUAAAACUGGCACCAAAUAAGCGGCGAAAAGGACACUUCUUUACAGUAUCAGAGCUGGAACAAGACGGCAGGCGUCAUCUUGCUCGACCUCAGCUGGAAGUGUGUUCAUCAGGCAACUCAGGGUUUCACCACUCUGCCCAUGUCUGCAAAAGACCGCGAAAGCUCCACAAGUAUUGAUUUGGGAGUUACGAAUAAAUUUUAGCAAGUAGGCAGGUUCACGAGUGUGGCAUCCACAAAUGCAGAUCGACUGUGCGCACCUGUGUGUGCUCAUUUUCCUUAGUCUUUUUUCGAACCACUCGAGAGCAUGCUCUGGACGUGAUGUGAUGCCCAGCACCCCCACACACUGUGUAUUUCCCAAAAGCAGACACUCCUGCAUAACCACCCUCCAGCCGUCCGCGUGGGGAAGUCACUAUUGAAAAAUAUUAAGGGCCAAUUCCCAGACCCCAUUUAGAUUAUGCCAACUGUGUCAACAAUGUUUAUUUUUCCUUCCUGCUCCAGGAUCUCAUCCAUAAUCAUGGUCACUCUCCUCUAAGCUAGGAUAGGCCCUUGGUCACUCUGUCCCUAACUGUUUCAGUUUUUAUUAAAGAUUACAGACUUCAUACAUAUAAGAAGGCAGGGUUCUUUGGAAAAGGCAGUAAUGCUGGGAAAAAUAUAAAGCAAUGGGGAAAGAGAAAGAACAAAUAUGAGCUGGAUUGACUCCACGAGAGGAGUCACAGGCGUCUGCAGGUAUGAGCAGGGCUGCUGAGGACAGGACCUUGUGGACAUCGCUCAGAGUCCCCGGGAGUCGGAGUGGACUCGACGGCACAUAACACAGGAUGAGUCUCAGGGUCCACCAAUGGUCCUUCAGGACCAGACCGGUUCGUGUUUCCUUGGUAGGAACACCACUGAAUGGUGCUUAUCGGGGACCCAAGAUUGCUCCCCAUCCCUACCACGGGGAAUACUAAUCCUGAUUAGCCAGUCACAUCGAUGUCCACUCGUUUUCUCCACGUUUUUCAUUCAUAAGUUGAUUGUAUUUCGUGGGGAGCCAUUCUGAGAUUCCGCCGUUGUCUUGUUCUUCCCCAGCCCCUGCCUGAAAACCUUCGCCUUCGUCAGUGACUUUUCCCUGAUUCACUGUGGCCACUGCCAAGCGGCGCUUUUUAAAAUUUCCGUCAUUUGUUCUCCAUUUAUUAGUUGGCAUUCCGAUACAAGGAAAAGAUUGCCCUGCUCUGUUUACUUUGACUCGUGUUUGUAUCAGUAUGGACGCUUGGAUGUCUGUUUUAUUCGAUGGAUACUGUUCUGUUGCUAUCGUUAUCUGUUUCGAGGUUCAAAUCGUCUGAGUUUGGUCAGUGUGAGCCCCAUCCAGCUGGCUCCUGAGUUCUUCGGACAUGCACCAUCCCUCUGUCCCCUGCCUCCUGGCACAAGACGUUCCAGGCUCGUGUGCUCUUCCCGUGCCAGCGUGGGAUCAGCCAUUUCUCCCAGAGCGCUCUUUUCAGUGGGGGAUGGGAUUCAGAAACCAGAGUUUGAGUGUGUGGCGUGCUUAUUGCUACCAGGGUGUAAUCGCUUCUAGGCCCUCAGUAGACACAGACGCCACCGAUGACGGGCUUCCUUAAAUGUCCUCUGAGAACUGCCUUGCGGUCAGCGAGGAAGGACCUUGUCAUGACUGCACGGGGGAAGUGCGGCAGAAUUUGGAGCCUUAGCGAACCUCAGGAAGUCAACCUGGAGAGGCCACUGUGCGAGUCCAGUAACAUGCUGACUCUCCAUCAAGGGACCAGUGUUCUUCACUAGUAGGUCGCUUUUAUGAUCCUCAUUCUACACGCGAGGAAGCUGAGGUGCAGAGGUGUUAAGAAGCAUGCCCGAGAGGAGAGUCGGGGUCUAAACCCCGGCUCCGCGUCCACAUUCUUGACUGUCCGCGGCUACGGCCGGCUGGCGGGGAGAGGGAGAGGCAGGCAGGGGCCAGCUCACGCACGAAAAGGCAGCUGUGAACGUCGGUGGCCUCAUGGCUGAGUCGCGAUGGCGGGAAGCCCCUCAGUUACGCAGAGGAAACGCAGCGACGCUGUGGUCGCCGCACACGUGGCGCUUUAAAGCAUUUGUUUGGCUGCAGGAUGCGGAGGACAGACCGAGAGGCAGGAGCCAGGGGCGCAGGAAGGGCUAAGGACCGAAUCAAACGCUGCAGCAGAGAGAAAGGGGAAGACGCCGGGCUGUGGAUGCUGACCGAGCGCCUCGCCUCUGGGCUUCUCGUGACGCAAGGAUAUAUCAGCUGUGAGAUCAAAGUUGGCGGAUAAGCAUGGGCGCAUGGCUCUGGGCCUCCGGGAAAGAGGUCCGGCCUAGGGAAGUAGAGUCGGAACUCGUCGCCGUGAAGAUGGCGAGUGCGGCCCGUCGACAGGAUUGUCCGCGAGGGUCCCCCACAGAGAGGAGGGCCCAGGCCUGCCCGGCGAAGGCCACGCAUGAGAAAGGGGACGGGCCCAGCUGACUGCACAGCAGCCCGGUGCAGGGAGGAUGCGUGGCACUAUCGCAGGCCCAGGGCGCUCAGGGACGUUUGACUGCGUCAGCCCAGCUGUGUCCAUGACGAGUUCCGAGGCCCGCUCCCAGCUGCGGCCCUGACCUUGGCAGCGGCCUUGCUGGGCCUGGGCGCUCACCCUCUCUGGGGCCCUCUCUUCUUACCGUUGAGCCCCGGGCCUGACUCAGCUCCUCCUGCAAGACCCCAGGUCUGCCCUGCGCUGCCACAGAAGCCCGGGCAGGGCUGGGGGACGCACUGCACCUUAAGUUGGCGACGAGCCAGCCUUGGCCUCUCCCAGUCGUCCCGCAUCAGUAGCACCCAGCAGCCACCAACCUGUCCUUGUACGUACGGCCCACUCCUCCCAAAUGCCCGAAACCGCAGCAGCUGACGAGUUCCUCCCACCGCGGUCCACCCACUUGACCCCUUAAAAGUUUGUUUUUAGUCAAUAGAUUUCGUUUUCUAAAACAGUUUCGGAUUUGCAGAAAGCGUGAGCAGACGGCAGAGUUCCCAGAUACCUGCUCUCCUCAGGCGCCAUCUCCCCUGUUAUUUGCCAACUUGCAUUAUUGUGAUACAUGUGUUACAAUCGGUGAACCAAUAUUAAUACAUGUUAUUAACUAAAAUCCGCAGUUGCUAUUAAAGUUCUCCCUGUGUUGUGC